GACGAACCGUGCGAACGUUGUUCGGAAUCACUGGGCUUAAAGGGCGCGUAGGCGGUUGAUCAAGUCUGGGGUGAAAUCUUUCGGCUUAACCGGAAAAGUGCCUUGGAUACUGGUCAGCUGGAGGGAGGUAGGGGCAGUUGGAACUUCCAGUGGAGCGGUGAAAUGCGUUGAUAUUGGAAGGAACGCCGGUGGCGAAAGUGAGCUGCUGGACCUCUUCUGACGCUGAUGCGCGAAAGCUAGGGGAGCAAACGGG
rnacentral:rRNA from 1 species